AUUGAACGCUGGCGGCAGGCCUAACACAUGCAAGUCGAGCGGAUGAAUGGAGCUUGCUCCUGGAUUCAGCUGCGGACGGGUGAGUAAUUCCUAGGUAUCUGCCUUGUCUUUGGGGAUAACGUCCGUUAACGGGCGCUAAUACCACAUCCGUCCUGAGUUGGAACGUGGGGGUUCUUCGGACCUCGCUCUAUCAGCUGAGCCUAGGGCGGAUUAGCUAGUUGGUGUGGUAAAGGCCUACCAAGGCGACGAUCCGUAACUGGUCUGAGAGGAUGAUCAGUCACACUGGAACUGAGACACGGUCCAGACUCCUACGGGAGGCAGCAGUGGGGAAUAUUGGGCAAUGGGCGAAAGCCUGAUCCAGCCAUGCCGCGUGUGUGAAGAAGGUCUUCGGAUUGUAAAGCACUUUAAGUUGGGAGGAAGGGCAGUAAGUUAAUACCUUGCUGUUUUGACGGUACCAACAGAAUAAGCACCGGCUAACUUCGUG
rnacentral:rRNA from 1 species